rnacentral:rRNA from 1 species
UAAGCAUAUCAAUAAGCGGAGGAAAAGAAACUAACAAGGAUUCCCCUAGUAACUGCGAGUGAAGCGGGAAAAGCUCAAAUUUAAAAUCUGGCAGAUGUUUGUCUGUCCGAGUUGUAACCUAGAGAAGUGUAACCUGUGCUGGACCGUGUACAAGUCUCCUGGAAUGGAGCAUCAUAGAGGGUGAGAAUCCCGUCUUUGACAUGGACUACCAGUGCACUGUGGUUGUGCACUCAACGAGUCGAGUUGUUUGGGAAUGCAGCUCUAAAUGGGUGGUAAAUUCCAUCUAAAGCUAAAUAUUGGCGAGAGACCGAUAGCGAACAAGUACCGUGAGGGAAAGAUGAAAAGAACUUUGGAAAGAGAGUUAAACAGUAUGUGAAAUUGUUGAAAGGGAAACGCUUGAAGUCAGCUGCAUUGGCUGGGGAUCAAGCCAGCUUAUUUGCUGGUUGUACUUCCUGGUUGAUGGGCCAACAUCAGUUUUGACCAUCAGAGAAAGGCCAAGGGAAUGUGGCACCUUUAUAGGUGUGUUAUAGCCCUUGGUUGUAUGUGGUGGUUGGGACUGAGGAUAGCAGCGUGCCACAAGGCCGGGUUUCGACCACGUUCACGCUUUGGAUGUUGGCAUAAUGGCUUUAAGCGACCC